rnacentral:lncRNA from 1 species
AAUGGCUUAAAAUCAAUCAAUUUAUAUUCGUUAUGUAUUUGUUUACCAAUAUAUUUGCAAACGCUAUCCCACACUUGACAAAUAAAAGCCGAAAGUUUAGUUUCCGGACUUGGUACUACAAAACCAUAGAUUGUCUUUAAAUGGCUUGUAAAUGUACCUAAGUAGUCUCAUCCUCACAAUCUUCCUAUUGAUAAUGUAUCAUUGGAAGAACAUGUUAGAUAAAG